UUUGAGGUCUAUCCCGAUGGGGCUUCUCUGGUAGCCACACAUCGUUGGAAACGCCUCGUAUAGUAACUUGUGGUUUUACUUGACUCAUGACUAUUCGUUAGGUCUGUGGGAAGGAACUACAAGACAGCA
ensembl:snoRNA LOC120096793 small nucleolar RNA SNORA18